rnacentral:rRNA from 1 species
CAUGUAGGCGGCCCGCCAAGUCUGAUGUGAAAGCCCGGGGCUCAACCCCGGAAGUGCAUUGGAAACUGGCGAACUUGAGUACGGGAGAGGAAAGUGGAAUUUCGAGUGUAGGGGUGAAAUCCGUAGAUAUUCGAAGGAACACCAGUGGCGAAGGCGGCUUUCUGGACCGAUACUGACGCUGAGAUGCGAAAGCGUGGGGAGCAAACAGGAUUAGAUACCCUGGUAGUCC